ensembl:lncRNA
UUCGGCGAAAGAUACUACUGUACGAAGAAUUCCAGGUUUUCAGCUGAAUAGUGGAGAACCACUUUGGCAAAAGUUUCAAAUUUUCAUUUGAAAAGGUUAUUUGCGUUUGAAUUUCUGUUGCUUACAAUGCAGUAUGUGCAAUACACGCACUGCAUAACUCCCAAAGUUUCCAAGAUGGGGUCCAGUGUUAUUCUUCCACUGUGUCCCAAACUUUGUCAUCGUGGACGCCCAAGAAAAGUGAAGAUUGAGUUCUAAUACUAUGGUUGAAUAUUUUGAGAAUUUGUUUGUCCCUUGAAGUUGGAAGAAACCAAUGUAUUUUUAUUCAUAUGAGACAUGUUUAUAUUCUUGCGUGUGAUUCUGAAGAGGGAAAUGUGUCCCUUGUUGUUGUUUUUGAUAAUCAAUGCAUAGUUCAGAUUCCUCUGGGCAACAAGCCCACACUGCUAGUUAAUAAUCGACCGCAUUUUUUAAACGGCGAUUUACAUGUUAAAGGCCCAGUGCAGUCAAAAAUGUGAUUUCUCUCUGUUUUAUACAUAUUUCUACACUGAGUUUGGAAUAAUACUGUGAAAUUGUGAAAAUUAUGAUAAUGCCCUUUUAGUAUAUGAGCUGUUUGAAAAGACAGCCUGAAAUUUCAGCCUGUUGUGGUGGGAUGGAGUUUUUGCAUGCCUACUACCAGGCAGUAAAUUAGUUAAUAGACCAACAAGAACGAGUUCCAAAACUUUACCAAUGACAGCUAGUUUUCAGUUUUCCCCUCCCCACUCACCACUCCCAGACAGCCCUAGCAAAAUUCUUGUUUGAGAAAUUGCUCUUUGCUAAGAAUCUGUUUGUUUUCAAUAAAAAAUAAAAAAAUAAACACAAUCACAGUAAGGUUCUAAAUUGUUACCCAGAAAUGAUUUAAUAUUGUGAUAAAAAUGGCUGCAUUGGACCUUUAACUUCUCUGGCUGUGAGGGGGAUACUGACAAGUCAAUGGAGCCAUUGUUUCUUUAUGGAUGUGUGGGAAGAUCAAUAACUCCCCUACCAACUGUCCCCUCCACCACCAGUGAACAUGUUUCUGCUUUGAAAAGAGGGAGGAAUCCUGGGUUUUCUGGUGUGAACGCCUUGGAGUUGGCAUGGAGGAGGGGCUGGGAACUAUCCCAAAUUUUUGAAUGGGGGCGGAGGGGUUGUAUGGAUUCAGAGACUUUUAAACACGUGACCUGAAAGGAAUGAAUAACUGCAACGCUUUUGACAGGAAAUCACCAUUUUGCCCCUAUUCAGCCAAAUGUUUGUUCCCAAGAUCUAUAUUGGUUCAUCAUGGAUUGAGGUGCUUGCACAUUUGUUUUUAUGAGAAAACACUCUUGGAAUCCAAUGUACUUUACAAGUGCCAAUUAAUCUUUGAUGGUUAGUUUCCUGAUAGUGACCAAAACAAUGAGUUAUGUGUGUCAGUGUCGGGUGGGGAUGGUUAAAGUAUUCAUCGAUUUAAAAAAAAAAAAAGUUUUUUAAUGACUUUAAAAAAAAGUUUUCUUCCCCGAGGUAUUGACACCAGCACUAGCCACAUUUGCUUUGGAAUCUUGUUGUCCUCGUAUGGGUAAGCUUACAAUUUUAACCGCUUAUAAAUGUGUUGCUUUUGUUUCUGAAGCAUUUGGGAUGUCUUAACAAAUUUGAUAGAUAUUGAUUAUACAACUCCGAAGUUACGGCCAAUAGCUUUUCAUACAACCAGCAGUUUUGUACUCGUAGAAUUUAGACAAGCUUUGUCAGCCGUUUCUGAUGAGCCAUUGACAGAUCUCAUAUCGUUUAUUUUUAUUUUUACAUAGUAUAUUGACAGUCAUUCCCUUCCACGUGCUGUAAAAGUUUCAUGACUCUAGGACCAAUCAAAGUCAUUCAAAAUACCUUGAGGUUCCAAAACUAUAAUAAAAAAAUGUUUGCUCAAUUCCUGAAAAGUUCACUUUUUGGAGAUACAAGGUUUUCCGGUGACGAUAUGAGAAAUCUGGGGUCUCUUAAAGAGUUUAGUGCUAUUUUACAAUGCCAGAGAUUUCAGACAAGGGCAAAAAAACACUAAACCUGGAGGAGCAACCACACAACUCCAGUUCUCAAGAGAUUCCUACUCCCAUCCACAUCGAUUAAUUUAGGCUUGGGAAGCCUUAA